rnacentral:rRNA from 1 species
UGCCAGCAGCCGCGGUAAUACGGAGGGUCCAAGCGUUGUCCGGAAUUAUUGGGUUUAAAGGGUGCGUAGGCGGUCUUUUAAGUCAGAGGUGAAAUCCCACAGCUUAACUGUGGAACUGCCUUUGAAACUGGAAGACUUGAGUACACUAGAGGUAGGCGGAAUUUAUGGUGUAGCGGUGAAAUGCAUAGAUACCAUAAAGAACACCGAUAGCGAAGGCAGCUUUCUGGACAGAUACUGACGCUGAGGCGCGAAGGCGUGGGUAGCGAACGGGAUUAGAUA